AUGGUAAUUUUGGGCCGGGCCUUUUUUUUUUUUUUUUUUUUUUUUAGUCAUGUCAUGAUACCUAUUGGUACACAAAACUGGUAGAUCGGCCCAUUAGUCAUGAUUGAUUCUGGGCUGGACCAAUUACAGCCGAGGGCCGAUGCCCCCUCCCACUUGGGCCUCGGCUGCCAGUCAAUCAAUCAUACAGAGAGAGAGGAGAUUGACAAAAUUGAGAAGAAACUCAAAGGAGGUGCAGAAAAAAUAAGAGAGAAAAAGAGACAAGCCCUUUAGGAAGAUGCUGCCAAAUGUGUUAAAAUAACACAGAUGUUUGCUGGCUAUGGCGGAGCUUCUUCAGUGGCAGCAUCAGUGACCGCACCCGCACUGGCAUCCAAAGCAGCCGCAGCAGGUAAUGAGGUGAAGGGGAGGCAGGAGGAGGAGACCCGCGGCCGCCGCAUUAUAUGACGACGGCACAGGCGGUGCGACUGGAGGGGAAUUUGAACUUCAGGUUGCCAUGUUUGAGGAAGUAUUAUGUGUUGCUGUGCUGUUUAUUGAUGUGGAUCCCAUCAUACGUUCAUUGUUCAGGAGGUUCACUAGAC